AACGAACGCUGGCGGCGUGCUUAACACAUGCAAGUCGAACGCGAAAGGUUGUUUCGGCAACCAAGUAGAGUGGCGCACGGGUGAGUAACGCGUAGAUAACCUAUCCUUGUGUUUGGGAUACUACCUCGAAAGGGGUGUUAAUACCGAAUAAUCUUGCAGAUUAAUUAAGAUAUGCAAGCAAAGGUGGCCUCUGAUUUAAGCUAUUGCAUGAGGAGGGGUCUGCGUACCAUUAGCUAGUAGGUAGGGUAAGAGCCUACCUAGGCAACGAUGGUUAACGGGUCUGAGAGGAUGAUCCGUCACACUGGCACUGAAACACGGGCCAGACUCCUACGGGAGGCAGCAGUGAGGAAUAUUGCGCAAUGGGGGAAACCCUGACGCAGCGACGCCGCGUGAGUGAGGAAGGCCUUCGGGUCGUAAAGCUCUGUCAAAAGGAAAGAAAUGUAUAUCAGCUAAUAACUGAUAUACUUGACGGUACCUUUAAAGGAAGCACCGGCUAACUCCGUGCCAGCAGCCGCGGUAAUACGGAGGGUGCAAGCGUUGUUCGGAAUUACUGGGCGUAAAGGGCGCGCAGGCGGUUUGAUUAGUCAGAUGUGAAAGCCCACAGCUUAACUGUGGAAGUGCAUUUGAAACUGUUAAACUAGAGUACCAGAGGGGGAAAGUGGAAUUCCCCGGUGUAGAGGUGAAAUUCGUAGAUAUCGGAGGAAUACCGGUGGCGAAGGCGACUUUCUGGAUGAGUACUGACGCUGAAGCGCGAAAGCGUGGGGGAGCAAACAGGAAUUUAGAUACCCUGGGUAGUCC
rnacentral:rRNA from 1 species